GGCUGGGUAGUUUGGGUCGUUACUGAAUGGUAGUUUGUACUAACUGGUAGGUUGUGUGUUACUGGUCUUACUGGUAGUUGGGGUGCGUUACUGGUGUUACUGCUCUCACUCACUGUUACUGGUAGUUACUGGUCUUACUGGUCGUUAGGGUGUGUUACUGGUAGUUACUGGUGGUACUGGUCGUUAGGGUGUGUUACUGGUAGUUACUGGUCGUUACUGGUAGUUACUGGUCUUACUGGUAGUUACUGUAGUUACUGGUAGUUACUGGUAGUUACUGGU